CCUACGGGAGGCAGCAGUGAGGAAUAUUGGUCAAUGGCCGGAAGGCUGAACCAGCCAAGCCGCGUGAAGGACGAAGGUGCCAAGCAUUGUAAACUUCUUUUGUCAAGGGACAAAAUCAGGCUCGAGAGCCUGACCGAGGGUACUUGAAGACAAAGCAUCGGCUAAUUCCGUGCCAGCAGCCGGGGUAAUACGGAGGAUGCGAGCGUUAUCCGGUUUUAUUGGUUUUAAAGGGUGCGUAGGCGGACUAUUAAGUCAGCGGUAAAAGCCCGGGGCUCAACCCCGGCGAGCCGUUGAAACUGGGGGUCUUGAGAUGUCGAGAGGUAGGCGGAAUGCGCAGUGUAGCGGUGAAAUGCUUAGAUAUUGCGCAGAACACCGAUGGCGAAGGCAGCAUACCGGCGGCGAUCUGACGCUGAGGCACGAAAGCGUGGGUAUCGAACAGGAUUAGAUACCCGAGUAGUC
rnacentral:rRNA from 1 species